rnacentral:rRNA from 1 species
AGUGAACGCUGGCGGUAGGCCUAACACAUGCAAGUCGAACGGCAGCACAGUAAGAGCUUGCUCUUACGGGUGGCGAGUGGCGGACGGGUGAGGAAUACAUCGGAAUCUACUUUUUCGUGGGGGAUAACGUAGGGAAACUUACGCUAAUACCGCAUACGACCUACGGGUGAAAGCAGGGGAUCUUCGGACCUUGCGCGAUUGAAUGAGCCGAUGACGGAUUAGCUAGUUGGCGGGGUAAAGGCCCACCAAGGCGACGAUCCGUAGCUGGUCUGAGAGGAUGAUCAGCCACACUGGAACUGAGACACGGUCCAGACUCCUACGAGAGGCAGCAGUCGGGAAUAUUGGACAAUGGGCGCAAGCCUGAUCCAGCCGUACCGCGUGGGUGAAGAAGGCCUUCGGGUUGUAAAGCCCUUUUGUUGGGAAAGAAAAGCAGCAGGUUAAUACCCCGCUGUUCUGACGGUACCCAGAGAAUAAGCACCGGCUAACUUCGUG